AUGAGAAUUACCAUUGCCGAGUGCAAGGAAAGAACCGCUAGAUUGUGUGCUAAGAAAGAUAGCUUUAUUGACGUGUCCCCUAUUAGAUCUUUGUUUUUCAAUAUGAAUCUUGAAAAUUAUGGGACUGAAGAUGAGUCAACUUUACCUAAAAGGCGUCCCAAAAAUUCGGAAUUUUUACAUCUUGAUGCUAAAUUUGGUAAAAGUGCGAUUGGAGAGGUCAUGACUUUAAAUAGCAUUGAACCCACUGUCUCGGAUUUCAAGGAAUUUGAUUAUGAUAAUUUUUCUUUAGAAAGUUGUAUUUCCUUGUUGCAAUCCUUUGUUAAUUCUCCACAUGCUUAUAGUCAAAAUAAAGCUUUUACCAAAUAUAUAGUUGAUGCCUUGAUGCAAUCUUUUGAUGAAAAACUUAAUUUGGAAGUUUCUAUACCUAGAAAACUUAAUGAUGAGUGGGAACCUACUAUAAAUAUUAGAAUUAAAGAUUAUGAGUUUUUUGCUUUGUGUGAUUUGGGUUCUAGUGUUUCCACGAUUCCAAAAACUUUAUGUGAUAUUCUAGGUUUCCUUGAUCUUGAUGAUUGCUCUUUAAAUUUGAACCUUGCGGAUUCCACCAUUAAAAAACCAAUAGGAAGGAUCAAUGAUGUCCUUAUUGUUGCAAAUAGAAAUUUGGUGCCCGUUGAUUUCAUCGUUCUUGAUAUAGAUUGCAAUCUUUCUUGCCCUAUUAUUCUUGGUAGACCUUUCCUUAGAACGAUUGGUGCGAUUAUUGAUAUGAAGGAAGGGAAUAUUAGAUUCCAAUUUCCAUUAAAGAAAGGCAUGGAGCACUUUCAAAGAAAGAAAGUCAAAUUACCUUAUGAAUCUAUCAUGCGAGCUACCUAUGAGCCAAGUGCCAAAGAUGGCACAACUUAG
rnacentral:rRNA from 1 species